AAAAAAGCGAUAACCGUGUAUAGUAGAGAACCAUUUUCUAUCAGAGAGAGAAAAUCACUGGCUGCAAGUUUUCUUUAGUUCAGAUGGCAAUCGAAAUUCCCACGAUAGCUGCGUUCUUGAAACAAUAGUAGAGAAUGCCGUAUGUUGUACGUUACACAAAGCUAAGAGCCUGCAGGAUCACUGUGGGAAUUAGGGUGGUACCGCGAAUGUUGAACUUCGUCCCUUUC
rnacentral:ncRNA from 1 species